UAAGAAUGAAUACAUGAAACGUUACGAGGAGGCUGUCAAUGACAGGCGAAAAAUAUCAGAUGAUUAUUCGAUCCAUAUUACAAAUCUGCAAACAAAGAGCAAAACUUUAGAUGAUAAGUGUAUUAACUUAUCAAAAGCUUUAGAAGCUGCAAAAUGUGAAUCUUCUGAUUGGAAAUUAAAAUACGAACAUAGCAUAUCUGAGCUGAAGGGCGAAGAAGAUAAAUUUAAGGCAGAAUUUGUCAUCCUUAAGUCCAGAGCUAGUGCUGCUGAGGGGAGAUUGGAUGCUGCUCGUGAACAAUCUGAGUCUGCUAACCAAGAAGCUUUGGAAUGGAAACGGAAGUAUGACACGGCUGUUGGUGAAGCCAAAGCAGCACUGGAGAGGGCAGCAUUAUCACAGGAACGUACAAACAAGAUGGCAUUAGAAAGAGAAGAUCUUAUACGAGAGGAAUUUUUUAAUCAGUUGUCCGAAAAGGUCUCCAUUUUAAUUUGAUAUUUUAAUUUUUUGGGGGGGGAUAUUUUAAUAUUUUGUCAUUUUAAUUGGUUCAAUUUUCUUUGUACCAGGAUGAAGAUAUUAAAAUUAUGAAGAAUGAAAUAGAAUCUUCUGAGAAAAAUAUUUCAAAUAUUAUUUCCCAGUUGCAGGUAAUAUCUGUUUUUAUAUUUUGGAUUUUAUAUGCUCAUGCUUCCUUUUGGCCAUAUAAAAUGAUAGUGUUAUUGUUGAUACUUGAUAUUUUUAAAUAAAAAUACAGGUUUCUGAGUCGAAACUGAUGGACCGUGCAUUAGAAACCUCAACUUUGAAAGAAAGAAUCAAUGUUUUGGAUGAGAAAUUAGAGAUUGCCAAUGCUACGGCCCAGUCGUUUGAGAAGGAAGUGCGACAACUGAAGCAAGAAGAGAAUCACCUUAAGGAUAAGUAUCUCUCUGAGUUAAAACAGUUUGAAGAAGGCGACCUGAGGUGUCGAACUGCUGAAAUGACUGCAAAAAAGGCCACUGAAUUGGCUGACAAUGCACGGGCAGAGGCAGCUUCUGCCCUGAAGGAAAAGAAUGAAAUCCAACGAGUGGCAAUAGAGCGAUUGGCGCAAAUUGAAAGAGCUGAGAGACUAGUUGAAAAUCUAGAGAGGGAUAAAGCUAGAAUGAUGGAUAAAAUUAGGAUACUAGAGACAUCUGAAAGGGAUGCCAUAUCCAAAGUUGCACUUUUGGAGGAAAGGGUGGAUGAAAGAGAGAGAGAAAUGGGGUUGAUGCUAAAUAAAAGUAAUGAGCAUCGAUCCGACACUGUUCAAAUGCUUGAGGGUCUUCUGGCCACGGAGAGAACAGCACUGUCUGAAGCCAAUGAAAGAGCGGAAAGUUUAUCUGUCCAAUUACAAACCACUCAAAGGAAAUUGGAUGUAGUACACCAAGAGUUGGCAUCUGUUCGAUUGAAUGAGACAGCACUAGACAGUAGACUCCGAGCCUCUUCACAUGGUAAACGAUCAAGGAUGGACGUAGAUUCCAUGCAAGACAUGGAAGUUGACAGAGUAAGCAAGGGGAGAAGAAAAUCCAAGAGCACCACAAGUCCUUUUAAGCUUGUCCCUACAGAAGAUGGUGGUUCUGUUUACGGAGGAGAUGAUGAUGAUGGUAAGAGCCAGAGCAGCGCAAGAGAUUCCGAAGAUUAUACCAAGUUCACCGUUUCCAAACUGAAGCAGGAACUAACGAAGAAUGGAUUCGGUGCUGAAUUGCUUGAGCUUAAGAGUCCCAACAAGAAGGAUAUUGUUUUUUUGUAUGAGAAGCAUGUUCUGAAGAAGUAAACCUUCUGUUGUCUUAGUGUUUUACCCAAUUCUACCAUUUGUCUUAGUGUCUUAAUUUCGUGUGCUCUUUAAUGUUUGACGUGGUUGUAGAUUUGUGUAUUUUUUUUACCAAUCUUAUUUAUUCUUAAACUGCAUUUUAUUGUAUCUCAUCUUAUUCUCUUUGAAACAUAUACAUCAAGCCUAAUUCAUUUAUUCUACCAUGUUGAUUUGAAUUUUAUUUCGUGUUUGAUCUUUUUAAUUGAAUGUGUGUUGUGAGUUUAUGCAGUAGUGGUUAUUGAGAGUUGCAUGCUAUUUUUGUAAGAUAAUCCUAUGCUUUAUUAUUUAUUAAUUGUAAAUGUGGCAUACAGGAUUUCGCAUAAAGAUCACAUUAUCAGGAAUGGAAAAAGAAUUCCCAAAGAGCCUGAAACGUUGAAGGGAGAGUAUUGGUUAUCAUUUGGUCAUACCAGAUAUCGUGCUUCGAUUAUAUCACCCGUAUCUGAAAACUCGGACAGACAACACAAUGAAGGUGGAACGACCCGUAUAGGAAUAGAAGGGGACUUCAGGUCGACCUGAGAAAGUCGACCCCUAGUCAGAAUUGAGGCUGUUAGGCCGUUAC
rnacentral:lncRNA from 1 species